AACGAACGCUGGCGGCAUGCCUAACACAUGCAAGUCGAACGAGACCUUCGGGUCUAGUGGCGCACGGGUGCGUAACGCCUGGUAACCUGCCCUUAGGUUCGGAAUCACUCCCCGUAGGGGGUGCUAAUACCGGAUAAUGUCUUCGGACCAAAGAUUUAUCGCCUUGGGAUGGGCCCGCGUUGGAUUGGCCAGUUGGUAGGGUAAAAGCCUACCAAGGCGACGAUGCAUAGCUGGUCUGAGAGGAUGAUCAGCCACGCUGGGAAUGAGACACGGCCCAGAAUCGUACGGAGGGCAGCAGUGGGGAAUAUUGGACGAUGGGCGAAGGCCUGAUCAAGCAGUGCCGCGGGAGUGAUGAAGGCCGUAGGGUUGUAAAGCUCUUUUACCCGGGAUGAUAAUGACAGUACCGGGAGAAUAAGCUCCGGCUAACUCCGUG
rnacentral:rRNA from 1 species